CCUGUGGACUGUAAAAGAACUUGUGAGUAGUCUUUUGACAAAAGCAUACAGGAAGAAGCAGGAA
rnacentral:sRNA from 1 species